rnacentral:rRNA from 1 species
UUAAGCGACUAAGCGUACACGGUGGAUGCCCUGGCAGUCAGAGGCGAUGAAGGACGUGCUAAUCUGCGAUAAGCGUCGGUAAGGUGAUAUGAACCGUUAUAACCGGCGAUUUCCGAAUGGGGAAACCCAGUGUGUUUCGACACACUAUCAUUAACUGAAUCCAUAGGUUAAUGAGGCGAACCGGGGGAACUGAAACAUCUAAGUACCCCGAGGAAAAGAAAUCAACCGAGAUUCCCCCAGUAGCGGCGAGCGAACGGGGAGCAGCCCAGAGCCUGAAUCAGUGUGUGUGUUAGUGGAAGCGUCUGGAAAGGCGCGCGAUACAGGGUGACAGCCCCGUACACAAAAAUGCACAUGCUGUGAGCUCGAUGAGUAGGGCGGGACACGUGGUAUCCUGUCUGAAUAUGGGGGGACCAUCCUCCAAGGCUAAAUACUCCUGACUGACCGAUAGUGAACCAGUACCGUGAGGGAAAGGCGAAAAGAACCCCGGCGAGGGGAGUGAAAAAGAACCUGAAACCGUGUACGUACAAGCAGUGGGAGCACGCUUAGGCGUGUGACUGCGUACCUUUUGUAUAAUGGGUCAGCGACUUAUAUUCUGUAGCAAGGUUAACCGAAUAGGGGAGCCGAAGGGAAACCGAGUCUUAACUGGGCGUUAAGUUGCAGGGUAUAGACCCGAAACCCGGUGAUCUAGCCAUGGGCAGGUUGAAGGUUGGGUAACACUAACUGGAGGACCGAACCGACUAAUGUUGAAAAAUUAGCGGAUGACUUGUGGCUGGGGGUGAAAGGCCAAUCAAACCGGGAGAUAGCUGGUUCUCCCCGAAAGCUAUUUAGGUAGCGCCUCGUGAAUUCAUCUCCGGGGGUAGAGCACUGUUUCGGCAAGGGGGUCAUCCCGACUUACCAACCCGAUGCAAACUGCGAAUACCGGAGAAUGUUAUCACGGGAGACACACGGCGGGUGCUAACGUCCGUCGUGAAGAGGGAAACAACCCAGACCGCCAGCUAAGGUCCCAAAGUCAUGGUUAAGUGGGAAACGAUGUGGGAAGGCCCAGACAGCCAGGAUGUUGGCUUAGAAGCAGCCAUCAUUUAAAGAAAGCGUAAUAGCUCACUGGUCGAGUCGGCCUGCGCGGAAGAUGUAACGGGGCUAAACCAUGCACCGAAGCUGCGGCAGCGACGCUGAUGCGUUGUUGGGUAGGGGAGCGUUCUGUAAGCCUGCGAAGGUGUGCUGUGAGGCAUGCUGGAGGUAUCAGAAGUGCGAAUGCUGACAUAAGUAACGAUAAAGCGGGUGAAAAGCCCGCUCGCCGGAAGACCAAGGGUUCCUGUCCAACGUUAAUCGGGGCAGGGUGAGUCGACCCCUAAGGCGAGGCCGAAAGGCGUAGUCGAUGGGAAACAGGUUAAUAUUCCUGUACUUGGUGUUACUGCGAAGGGGGGACGGAGAAGGCUAUGUUGGCCGGGCGACGGUUGUCCCGGUUUAAGCGUGUAGGCUGGUUUUCCAGGCAAAUCCGGAAAAUCAAGGCUGAGGCGUGAUGACGAGGCACUACGGUGCUGAAGCAACAAAUGCCCUGCUUCCAGGAAAAGCCUCUAAGCAUCAGGUAACAUCAAAUCGUACCCCAAACCGACACAGGUGGUCAGGUAGAGAAUACCAAGGCGCUUGAGAGAACUCGGGUGAAGGAACUAGGCAAAAUGGUGCCGUAACUUCGGGAGAAGGCACGCUGAUAUGUAGGUGAAGCGACUUGCUCGUGGAGCUGAAAUCAGUCGAAGAUACCAGCUGGCUGCAACUGUUUAUUAAAAACACAGCACUGUGCAAACACGAAAGUGGACGUAUACGGUGUGACGCCUGCCCGGUGCCGGAAGGUUAAUUGAUGGGGUCAGCGCAAGCGAAGCUCUUGAUCGAAGCCCCGGUAAACGGCGGCCGUAACUAUAACGGUCCUAAGGUAGCGAAAUUCCUUGUCGGGUAAGUUCCGACCUGCACGAAUGGCGUAAUGAUGGCCAGGCUGUCUCCACCCGAGACUCAGUGAAAUUGAACUCGCUGUGAAGAUGCAGUGUACCCGCGGCAAGACGGAAAGACCCCGUGAACCUUUACUAUAGCUUGACACUGAACAUUGAGCCUUGAUGUGUAGGAUAGGUGGGAGGCUUGGAAGUGUGGACGCCAGUCUGCAUGGAGCCGACCUUGAAAUACCACCCUUUAAUGUUUGAUGUUCUAACGUGGACCCGUGAUCCGGGUUGCGGACAGUGUCUGGUGGGUAGUUUGACUGGGGCGGUCUCCUCCUAAAGAGUAACGGAGGAGCACGAAGGUUGGCUAAUCCUGGUCGGACAUCAGGAGGUUAGUGCAAUGGCAUAAGCCAGCUUGACUGCGAGCGUGACGGCGCGAGCAGGUGCGAAAGCAGGUCAUAGUGAUCCGGUGGUUCUGAAUGGAAGGGCCAUCGCUCAACGGAUAAAAGGUACUCCGGGGAUAACAGGCUGAUACCGCCCAAGAGUUCAUAUCGACGGCGGUGUUUGGCACCUCGAUGUCGGCUCAUCACAUCCUGGGGCUGAAGUAGGUCCCAAGGGUAUGGCUGUUCGCCAUUUAAAGUGGUACGCGAGCUGGGUUUAGAACGUCGUGAGACAGUUCGGUCCCUAUCUGCCGUGGGCGCUGGAGAACUGAGGGGGGCUGCUCCUAGUACGAGAGGACCGGAGUGGACGCAUCACUGGUGUUCGGGUUGUCAUGCCAAUGGCACUGCCCGGUAGCUAAAUGCGGAAGAGAUAAGUGCUGAAAGCAUCUAAGCACGAAACUUGCCCCGAGAUGAGUUCUCCCUGACCCUUUAAGGGUCCUGAAGGAACGUUGAAGACGACGACGUUGAUAGGCCGGGUGUGUAAGCGCAGCGAUGCGUUGAGCUAACCGGUACUAAUGAACCGUGAGGCUUAACCUU